rnacentral:rRNA from 1 species
AGAGUUUUUUUCUGGCUCAGGAUGAACGCUGGCGGCGUGCUUAACACAUGCAAGUCGAACGAAGCAUUUGCAACAGAUUUCUUCGGAUUGAAGUUGCUUAUGACUGAGUGGCGGACGGGUGAGUAACGCGUGGGUAACCUGCCUCAUACAGGGGGAUAGCAGCUGGAAACGGCUGGUAAUACCGCAUAAGCGCACAGUACCACAUGGUACAGUGUGAAAAACUCCGGUGGUAUGAGAUGGACCCGCGUCUGAUUAGCUGGUUGGUGGGGUAACGGCCUACCAAAGCGACGAUCAGUAGCCGACCUGAGAGGGUGACCGGCCACAUUGGGACUGAGACACGGCCCAAACUCCUACGGGAGGCAGCAGUGGGGAAUAUUGCACAAUGGGGGAAACCCUGAUGCAGCGACGCCGCGUGAAGGAAGAAGUAUCUCGGUAUGUAAACUUCUAUCAGCAGGGAAGAUAGUGACGGUACCUGACUAAGAGGCCCCGGCUAACUACGUGCCAGCAGCCGCGGUAAUACGUAGGGGGCAAGCGUUAUCCGGAUUUACUGGGUGUAAAGGGAGCGUAGACGGUGUGGCAAGUCUGAUGUGAAAGGCAUGGGCUCAACCUGUGGACUGCAUUGGAAACUGUCAUACUUGAGUGCCGGAGGGGUAAGCGGAAUUCCUAGUGUAGCGGUGAAAUGCGUAGAUAUUAGGAGGAACACCAGUGGCGAAGGCGGCUUACUGGACGGUAACUGACGUUGAGGCUCGAAAGCGUGGGGAGCAAACAGGAUUAGAUACCCUGGUAGUCCACGCCGUAAAC